GCCAGUGUGGUAUAGUGGUUUGAGUAUUGUCUGUGAUUCAAGAGACCAGGGUUCAGUUCCCUGCUCAGUCA